AUUGAUAGUGACUUAUUUGUGGUUGCUGGGCGCAUGAUAGGCCACUCAUUUCUUCAUGGUGGCCCUUUGCUUCCUGGAAUUAGUCCAGUCGUAGUUCACGUGUUGAUGGGUGGUCCCAUCGAGACUGCAGAGUUUAAAUUAGAGGAUUGUCCAGAUUUGGAACAAAGGCAUACCAUCCAACUGUUGCAAGGUAACCAUAACCUUUCAGAAGAGGAAAAGGAGGAAGUAACCAGACUUGCUGUGUCAUGGGACCUUCCUGGGUUUUCUGAACACCACCGGAAAUGGCUGUUUAAUAGGUUGCUGCAACACGCUGUUUUGUAUAGGACUAAAUGUCAAAUAAAGCAGCUGAGGCAUGUCAAAGAAACCAAUCUUUGGUCAUUGAUCACGGCAUGAGAAGAUGC